rnacentral:rRNA from 1 species
UAUUCUUUUGAAAGAUUAUCAUUUCCCGAUAAAAAAAGAUCUAUUCUUAAUCUAGUAGUUAGCUUUUACUUUCAAUGUUGAAUUAUUGAUUGGAAAUUUUAGUAUAGAGACGAAACGUCUUCAAUUUUUUUGAUAUCUGGAUUUAACCUAAAUGAAUUUAGUUCUUAAAUUAACCAAAGAGUUAUAAGAUUCUUUGGAGUUAGAAUUAUAGUCCCUAAAAUCAAACGGAAUAAUUUCUUCCUUUUUAAUAAUUUAAUCGUAUAUAUUUCUACUUUUAUCUAUUUAAUAGGUUUAUACUAAUCUUAUUUUGUUUUUUGAUUAGUUAAUAAUGUUUAAAUUAGUAUUUCUGAUUUAAGAAAUCAAAAAAAGGAACUCGGCAAAAUUACUCCUCAACUGUUUACCAAAAACAUAGCUUGGAGUAAGUUUUGUUCUAAGUGAUACCUGCCCAGUGAAAAAUUUUAACGGCCGCAGUACACUGACUGUGCUAAGGUAGCAUAAUAAAUUGGCUUUUAAUUGAAGUCGGGUAUGAAAGGAGUUAUGGGGAGUGUCUGUCUCUUUACGAUUUUUAAAAGUUACUAAGGAAGUGAAAAUUCUUCCAUAAUUUUUGUAAGACGAGAAGACCCUAAGAAUUUUUAUAAAUUAAAAUUGUACUAAUUUGUAAGUUUUUGUUGGGGCAACAGAUUUGGACAACCAAAUUUUUAUAAAUUUUAUAAACCAAAUUAUUUUAAAUUAGAUAAAAUUACCUUAGGGAUAACAGCAUAAUUAAAUUUUUAGAUUGUGACCUCGAUGUUGGACUAAGGACUUAAAUAAAUAGCCUUUAUUUAAGCUGGUUCUGUUCGAACUAUUCACCUUA